rnacentral:rRNA from 1 species
UACGUAGGGGGCAAGCGUUGUCCGGAUUUAUUGGGCGUAAAGAGCUCGUAGGUGGUUCGGUAAGUCGGAUGUGAAAUCUCCAGGCUCAACCUGGAGGGGUCAUUCGAUACUGCCGUGACUAGAGGUCGGUAGGGGAGUGUGGAAUUCCUGGUGGAGCGGUGAAAAGCGCAGAUAUCAGGAGGAACACCCGUAGCGAAGGCGGCACUCUGGGCCGAUACUGACACUGAGGAGCGAAAGCGUGGGGAGCGAACAGG